GAUGAACGCUGGCGGCGUGCCUAAUACAUGCAAGUAGAACGCUGAAGGAGGAGCUUGCUCUUCUGGAUGAGUUGCGAACGGGUGAGUAACGCGUAGGUAACCUGCCUGGUAGCGGGGGAUAACUAUUGGAAACGAUAGCUAAUACCGCAUGACAACAGUUAUUGCAUGAUAACUGUUUAAAAGGGGCAACUGCUCCACUACCAGAUGGACCUGCGUUGUAUUAGCUAGUUGGUGAGGUAACGGCUCACCAAGGCGACGAUACAUAGCCGACCUGAGAGGGUGAUCGGCCACACUGGGACUGAGACACGGCCCAGACUCCUACGGGAGGCAGCAGUAGGGAAUCUUCGGCAAUGGACGGAAGUCUGACCGAGCAACGCCGCGUGAGUGAAGAAGGUUUUCGGAUCGUAAAGCUCCGUUGUAAGAGAAGAACGAGUGUGAGAGUGGAAAGUUCACACUGUGACGGUAUCUGACCAGAAAGGGACGGCUAACUACGUG
rnacentral:rRNA from 1 species